AACAAACCUUUGAAGUUUUAAAUCUUUUUCUAUUACCUUGUAGCAUCUCCCUACUCGAACGUUGAGUAGGGUUUUUUAU
rnacentral:misc_RNA from 1 species